CACGGAUCCAGGUUUUCUGACUCCAGGUAGGCACCCAAAUCAAGACUCAGAUUUCCUCAUCUCAGAAGUUGUCCACUUCUUCUCCGACCUCCACGGUAACUCGGAACCACACCGUGGAGUUAUCCCUGUGUCCUCUUUCUCGGAAGUUCCACAUCCAACCCCUCAGCAGGUCUCAGCGGCACUCUCACCACCUCCUCUGCUCUGUUCCUGUUUCUCUUGGAUGGUCGAAUGUUUCCUAAGGAGUGUCUGCUGCUUCACGCUUGCCCCCUGGAGUGGCAUCUAAAAGGUGC
rnacentral:lncRNA from 10 species